CCCACACCUCCCAGCUGCUUUGCAUAAAGAGAUCCCCAAGGGGAGGGGCUGCAGACACAGGGAGAUAAACUGGGCCUGGGGGCAGAGCAGUCACAGAGGAGGAAUCACUGCAAAAUGGAGUCUCUGUCUCAGCUUCUCUGGGGGCUCCUCAUGCUUUGGGUCCCAGUUUCCAGGGGAGAAAUUGUGCUGACCCAGUCUCCAACCUUGGUUUCUGUGAGCCCAGGAGAGAGAGUCACCAUCAGCUGCAAGGCCAGUCAGAGUGUUGUACACAGUAAUGGAAACACUUACCUAAGCUGGCUCCAACAGAAACCCGGACAGUCUCCUUGGCUACUCAUUUACGAGGUUUCCAACCUGUUCUCAGGAGUCCCCGCCCGCUUCAGUGGCAGUGGAGCUGGGAAGGAUUUCACCCUCACAAUCAGCAGUGUGGAGGCUGAAGAUGGGGCAGUCUAUUACUGUUCUCAAGGAACUUAUUCUCCUCCCACAGUGUUACAGCCCUGAACAAAAACCUCCUCAGGCCUGGGCUGGCGGCUCAGGGAGGCCCAGCUGCCUCCUCUCCUUCC